rnacentral:rRNA from 1 species
UAAUCUGCGAAAAGCGUCGGUAAGCUGAUAUGAAGCGUUAUAACCGACGAUACCCGAAUGGGGAAACCCAGUGCAAUACGUUGCACUAUCGUUAGAUGAAUACAUAGUCUAACGAGGCGAACCGGGGGAACUGAAACAUCUAAGUACCCCGAGGAAAAGAAAUCAACCGAGAUUCCCCCAGUAGCGGCGAGCGAACGGGGAGGAGCCCAGAGUCUGAAUCAGUUUGUGUGUUAGUGGAAGCGUCUGGAAAGUC